UACGUAGGGCGCGAGCGUUGUCCGGAAUUAUUGGGCGUAAAGAGCUCGUAGGCGGCCUGUUGCGUCCGCUGUGAAAUCCCAGGGCUCAACCCUGGGCGUGCAGUGGAUACGGGCAGGCUGGAGGCAGGCAGGGGAGAACGGAAUUCCCGGUGUAGCGGUGAAAUGCGCAGAUAUCGGGAGGAACGACCGGUGGCGAAGGCGGUUCUCUGGGCCUGUAC
rnacentral:rRNA from 1 species